UCCAUAUACAAUCCUACAUGGCGUCUCCACACCAAACGCAUGUCUUCUAAAUACGUUUCCCAUCAAUGUUUUAAAUUUUGAUAGCUGAAAUUUCAUAGGUCGCAGAAAUUUAGAUAAACUUCACAAAUCAUUAUUGUAUCAUGGUCAACUUCAUUGAAUUUACCCUAAAAAAAACUUCAUUCAAUUAAACAAAAAAUGGCUAAACUAAAAUUCAACAUUUAUGUUAUGUUUGAAUCUAGUUCAAAAUUUCGAGGUAGAAGAUUUGGGUACUGCCGAUAUUCUGAAUAAGACACACCAACUCAUGGACAACCGCAUCGAGUAGCACCACAUAGAUCUAACAUUUGGGACCACCUUAUUAGGAUAAAAAAAAACAUAAUAUUUCAGUUUGGUUAAAGUUCAUCGAAAUUUUACGGAACUUCAACAAAAUUGUUUUGUCAAAAAUUUAAACCAUGAUGGAAAGCAUAUUUAGGAGACACACCACGUGAAGUCACCUCGUAGGCUUG
rnacentral:lncRNA from 1 species